GCUGGUGUGGCAGAGCCUGGUAAAUGCGAUAGGCCUAAGCCCUUUCUACCAGAGGUUCAAAUCCUCUCCCCAGCC
rnacentral:tRNA from 1 species